GUGCGGUGGUAGCGACAUUAGCUUCUGCUAGUUCAGGAAUGCCACACUGUUGCUCUUCAGUGAAUACAGAAAGAAAGAAGGGACAAGAACUCAUCAACAAAGGUGUCGAGAGUAAAGCAGUAAAAACGUAUAGAAGUGUCAGAAGUGAUCCAACCUCCCAGGUUCUCACUAGAAUUCUAUUAUUGUGUCUGCUGUCAGUGACCUCAUCUGUGUUACGUCAUUCCACAUUUUUGACUCCGGUUUGGGAAAAUCACUAAAUUAUGAAAUGUGAGUUUUUGGGAGUGACGUAUUCCAACAUUUUUGACUCUAGUUUGGGAAAAUCACUCAAAUGCGGUGUUUCAGGUUCCAGAUCAGGAGAAAGCGCAAACUGAUUACUGUUCAAUGCAAUCAUCUCACAAUGUUACUUUGAAAAUGUGAAAAUAAUCUUUAAUGUUGCAAUGUUACAGUUUUGUUACGUUAUGUUUAUGGUGGAUUUGGUUCUUUGUUGUUUCUUGUUACUUGUUGGCACACAGGUUUUAAACAAUUGCUUUAAUUUAAGAUCUGCGUUAUGUCCUGCUGCUUGCUUUUUUUUUACUCUGGAAGCAAAUUUUAACAAUAAAUGUUUGAAAAAUAA